rnacentral:rRNA from 1 species
GGAAUCCCGCAAGGGGGGAACCGGCGUAAGGGGCAGUAAGGCAUGGGUACCUACCCGGGGGUUCGGGAUAGCCAUCAGAGAUGGUGGGUAAUACCGGAUGACCUCGUGAGAGCAAAGAUUCAUCGCCCGCGGAGGGGCCCAUGUGAUAUUAGCUAGUUGGUGGGGUAACGGCCCACCAAGGCGAAGAUGUCUAGCGGGUGUGAGAGCACGACCCGCGCCACUCGCACUGAGACACUGGCGAGACACCUACGGGUGGCUGCAGUCGAGGAUCUUCGGCAAUGGGGGCAACCCUGACCGAGCGAUGCCGCGUGCGCGAUGAAGGCCUUCGGGUUGUAAAGCGCUUUAGUGGGGGAGAAAAGCCGCGAGGUGUGAUCUAUCCCAAAAAUAAGCUCGGGCUAAGUUCGUGCCAGCAGCCGCGGUAAGACGAACCGAGCGAACGUUGUUCGGAAUCACUGGGCUUAAAGGGCGCGUAGGCGGGCUAUCAAGUCUGGGGUGAAAUGCCGCGGCUCAACCGCGGAACGGCCUCAGAUACUGACGGCCUGGAGGGAGGUAGGGGCAUGCGGAACUGUAGGUGGAGCGGUGAAAUGCGUUGAUAUCUACAGGAACUCCGGUGGCGAAAGCGGCGUGCUGGACCUCUUCUGACGCUGAGGCGCGAAAGCUAGGGGAGCGAACGGGAUUAGAUACCCCGGUAGUCCUAGCCCUAAACGAUGGGUACUAGAUAGUAGGCCGGAUAUGGGCUUACUGUCGAAGUUAAAAUGCUAAGUACCCCGCCUGGGGAGUAUGGUCGCAAGGCUGAAACUCAAAGAAAUUGACGGGGGCUCACACAAGCGGUGGAGCAUGUGGCUUAAUUCGAGGCUACGCGAAGAACCUUAUCCUGGACUUGACAUGUGCGAAAGCGCUCGGCAGUAGGACCCGGAAACGGGAACGGACCCCAGCAAUGGGGGGACCGAGCACAGGUGCUGCAUGGCUGUCGUCAGCUCGUGUCUUG